AAGUCGUAACAAGGUAUCCGUAGGUGAACCUGCGGAUGGAUCAUUAACACUUUCCAAAAACAACUGAGUUCUACACCAUGGCUAGCGUCAUUGUUGUAGGCUUGGUUUUCAAACCCAAAUCAGCGAACUUGUCAACGGCAUAGCAUGUUUGUUUGAUUGUUUCAAACAAACAAACAAACAAAGUUAUGUCCGUUCGUUUUCUCCUUGUCAAUUUUACUUUUAUUAUUCAACACUCUUUUUUUCUUUUCCUUCAUUGGAUGGAAAAAAGCAGCGUCAAACGAAAUAACUUGACUAAGAAGAAAAAAAAACCCCACGUUUAAUGAACAUUAAAUGAGGGAAAAAGAAAAAAUAAACAAAAAAUACAACUCUUAACAACGGAUAUCUUGGCUCUC
rnacentral:misc_RNA from 1 species